rnacentral:rRNA from 1 species
GUGACGAGCGGCGGACGGGUGAGUAAUGUCUGGGAAACUGCCUGAUGGAGGGGGAUAACUACUGGAAACGGUAGCUAAUACCGCAUAACGUCUUCGGACCAAAGUGGGGGACCUUCGGGCCUCACGCCAUCAGAUGUGCCCAGAUGGGAUUAGCUAGUAGGUGGGGUAAUGGCUCACCUAGGCGACGAUCCCUAGCUGGUCUGAGAGGAUGACCAGCCACACUGGAACUGAGACACGGUCCAGACUCC